GAUGAAGAACGUAGCAAAAUGCGAUAAGUAAUGUGAAUUGCAGAAUUCAGUGAAUCAUCGAAUCUUUGAACGCACAUUGCGCCCGCUGGUAUUCCGGCGGGCAUGCCUGUUCGAGCGUCAUUUCAACCCUCAAGCCCCCGGGUUUGGUGUUGGGGAUCGGCUCUGCCCUUCUGGGCGGUGCCGCCCCCGAAAUACAUUGGCGGUCUCGCUGCAGCCUCCAUUGCGUAGUAGCUAACACCUCGCAACUGGAACGCGGCGCGGCCAUGCCGUAAAACCCCAACUUCUGAAUGUUGACCUCGGAUCAGGUAGGAAUACCCGCUGAACUUAAGCAUAUCAUAAGCGGAGGA
rnacentral:misc_RNA from 1 species